GGAAAGAGAAGGAAAUCCAGUUUCCUGUGCAAAGUGCAAUAACAGCACAGGGAAUUACGACGCAAACGGUUCGGAUUAUGAAGCCAGGAGCUUGUUUUUUGUCCAGAGAGUGUCAGGCUGUCACAGUUCACAUCCAGAACGUAGCCUACUUAAAGGAGAGCUAUAGCUGGUGACUCUGAGCCAAAGGGUCCGUUCUUCAGGCUGCGUGGUCGCUCUGUCUGAAAAGAGUGGGGGAAUAAGGGCCAUCCCCGAAGGCUAGGGGGGGCUGGGGGUGGCCAAAAUAUGGACCAACCCCGGUGAGGUCAAAGGCCUCGGACCACGACAAUGUAACUGCGGUGAUGUCAUGAAAAAAAAAAUCGCAAAUGCACCCUCCUAUCCAUGCACAAUCUCCAUCCAUUACACAGCGCGCGCUGGAAUAAGUCCGCCUCGCAGCGAGCAGGCUGCACGCCUUCUCUCACACAGGGAUGAAAAUGGAUGGCCGAGAAACCAUAUGCUUUUUUUUUUUUCUCACACAGAAUGAGAGCGAUUCAACAGCUUUAACUGGAAGACGCGGCCAAUAACGGCACCUAUUAAACAAUAAAAAAAACCCGAAGCAACUUAAUGAGAAGAACAUCCCGGAGCUGCCUGAGCGCCAGCAUCCUCCGUCUAUUCUCUGCAGGUUAUAUUUGCUCCACGCGAUAACACGCAGCUCGCGCUGCUUUUUGCUCCUCACACGCGAAGGCGCCGCUGUAUAUGUCUUAAAUUGAUCUCACGUUCUCGAUUUUGCGUCGAAGUCCUCCCUAUAGCCUCGUGUGUGUAUUUUUUUUAUGUCACCGUCGCAUCCGAAGCGUAGACUACAAUGGUAUUCGGGCAGGCUGGCGGUGUCGCCCCACGCGGAAUGAAGCACAGGCGCCGCGACGCGCCGCGCCGCGCCGCGCACAAUGUCAAGCCGCUCACUUUUCCACAGAAACGAGUCCAAUUCACUGGCUGCUUUUACAACGAGCUCUCAAGUUUGCUCUCGUUUCGUCGGUAGGAGGAGCAACGUGAGUCACAGGGCCUGUGCAUUUCAUUAAGGGAUUACUACAAACUUGUCCCUUCAAAGUUCAGAGCCGCGGCCCAUUGUGUGCUAAUUCUGAUGUUUCAGUUUCAAUACACCUGCAACACGUGAUCUGGACCCGCGUUACGCCAAAUAAGCUAAAUCCCCGCAUAUGCCUCUGCUCCUUAUUUCUCAGCAUGCACGGCCGCACUUCACGUCCCUCAGCUGUCUGUCCCCGUGGCGUGGAUGCGAGGCACGGCCGACUGUAAGGCCAAGUCCGUAUCGCUAGGAUCACCAUUACGUAGCACACCUCAUUAGUGUAAAGGAGGCUUCAAAACGGGCCUCCCGCUCAGAGGCCAUGCUUUAAUUACACCGCACUUUUCUUCUGAAACACACAACCUGCUGAUUCCCCUGGAAUUACAAAUCAUAUGCAUUUCCGUGAAGAUCAGUGAUACACUGCUGAGACGUCCAAAUAUCACAGGCACAGUUCAUUUUGUCUAUGUAUCUGGUUAUUGUUUGAAGAAACGCUGUUUUUGUGCGUAAAAGAACAAUAAAAGCUUUGUUUUAAGACAUUA